UUUAUAUAUGAGACAACGAUGUAAGGUAUUUUUUUUUUUUUUUUUUUUUUUUUUUUUUUUUUUUUUUUUUUUUUUUUUUUUUUUUUUGUUUUUUUUUUUUUUUUUUUUUUUUUUUUUUUUUUUUUUUUUUUUUUUUUUUUUUUUUUUUUUUUUUUUUUUAUCUAUAUAUGGUUUUUUUUUUUUUUUUUUUUUUUUUUUUUUUUUUUUUUUUUUUUUUUUUUUUUUUUUUUUUUUUUUUUUUUUAAUUAUGAGUAUAUUGAUCUUUUUUUUUUUUUUGAUUAUGCAUUUAUGUGUUUUAUUGAUUUACAGAGUAUUUUUUUUUUUUUUUUUUUUUUUUUUUUUUUUUUUUUUUUUUUUUUUUUUUUUUUUAAUACUAUAUAAUAUAUUAAGUAAUCUUAAAAACUAGUACACAAAAGCU
rnacentral:misc_RNA from 1 species